GGCGGCAGCGCCCGGGCGGGGGGCGCUGUUCCUGGGCUCGGGGAGCGGUGGCGCUUGUGUGCGAACUGGUUUCAGCUACUGCGAGUAACGCGCUGUCAAACACAACAACGGAAAACAAAGGCGAUUUGCACUCCAAGUGAGGUUUACUGUUGUGUGGGCAGGGGAAGCUGCUCCCGGUGCGUAACGUCGCCCUAAGACGGGAACGGCCUGAGCUCCCUGUCCUGACAGCCCCGCAAACGGGGCUCUGGCCGAGCACCGGCAGCUGCCUCGGGCAGAGCACAAAACCCGUGUUCAAGUCGAAAAGCCUGCUCUCAAGCCCGCAGUGGUCUGUGGCUCUGGGUCUGGAGACACUGCUGCAUUUCAUAAUGUAUUUUUAAUAGGGUGAGCGACAAAAAGCACUUUCUGCUCAUGCAGCAAGAGAGCAAGCAGCCGAAUACUCAGAUGACAGUGACAAAGACGGCACAUUAAACGGUGUUGGAAAAGAACGUAACGGAAGGAAUUCAGGUGCUGGAAGCAC